CCCAUCUCACUGCCUGCCACUCACAAUGAAAGAAGAAGGAAGAGAGAGGAAGGAGGAAACGGUGAGUAAAAGAGAGGGAGGGUGUUGGAGAAGAGGGACCUGAAAGAGAAUGGGGAAGACAGCUUCUUGCACCAUUUCCCAUAGCUCUCUUUGUGACCACAACUGUCAGUUAGGAAGGAAGAAAAGAUGAGGGGCUAGGGUAAGUGAGCGCAUGAGUGCCUGCAUGGUGAAGGUGGUGGGGGGCUUCUUGCUGCUGGUUUUUGUUGUUUGAGGAGCGAGAGAGGCAGGAUUGUAGGAUAAUACAGGGGUAAAAAAAACAACUAUUGAAAUGUUUUAAAUUUAUUUUAUGAAAAUCUUUUUGUUUGUUUAGUUUUUCGCCUGUGGAUUCCAAGCAGGAGAGUGGAAAUAAUUGAUAAAAAUCCAGUUUCAGAGAUCUUCACAGACUGUUGUGGGGAAGUGUGAGUUGAGAAAUUGCCCCUGAGUCUUCUGACCCACUGACCCUGUGUCAGCGUCUGGCUGAUUGCAGGAAGGAGGAGUAUUUUACAUCUAUCAGAGAGGCUCCUGGACUGGUAAUGUCACCUGACCGCCUGCCUUCCAUUGGUUCAUCUGGGACUAAAUCAACAGCCAAGCCAACCCCCUCCUCUCCAGGUCUCCGGCACCCCCACCAGUCCAGUCGCAGAAAGCGUAACAGGCAGCAGAAGACUUCUUUCUCCUCUGACACUCACCCUCAUCCAGGACCCUCAUCCAUCCUCCUCUCAGACGCCACCAUGACUCCUUGGGGAGGGCUGGCUCUAUCUGAGUCCUCCUUUAACUCAAUUCCCAAAAUACUUACUCCACGACCCUCUCCACCUCCACCCCCAGCCUCUCCUGUUCCCGAGCAAAUACCGUCAGCUACCCCAUAUCAUGGCAGGAGACAGGAAGAAGACAAAGACAGCUCAGGCUCAAGUUUUAACUCUCAAAUUCCAUCUCCACCUGUGGCAGUCAUGCAAAACAGCGCAGGUGGAGCAGCUAAAGAUUUGCAGUUGAGGCGGAGGGUGUUGCCUCAGUGUCGGCUUCCUCGUGCCCCCCGUCUCCCACCGCUUAACCAGGUCACUGACCUCAGUUUCUCUCGGAGCUUCACUUUCUCCUUCUUCGAGCUGCCGCUGCACCAGUCUCCUCGCUGGCGUGCCGAGCGCGUCAAAAACCUCUUAUUGCUUUUGAAACAGAUACACUAUUGAAGACGCAGAGCUGCGUGUUCCUACUGAUAGUUCAGAUCUGCCUUUCUUGAGUAUAUUAUUGUAUUAGUAAAAUGUUUAUUUUCAAAGUAAGAGUGAUGGGUGAGGGAUUUUUUUUGGCACAAUAGGAUAAGAAAAUAAGACUGCAUGUUAUUCUAUUCGAUCUGUGUUCAUUGCUUUUCGAGAGCUGGAUUUUCUUUGUUUGAUGUUUUCAAAUUUAUUUUAAAAAAUAGUUUCUAAGGGUGUGAGUUCA
ensembl:lncRNA